rnacentral:rRNA from 1 species
GACGAACGCUGGCGGCGUGCCUAACACAUGCAAGUCGAACGGAGAUAUGAUUUCGGUUGUAUCUUAGUGGCGAACGGGUGAGUAACGCGUGAGCAACCUGACCUUCAGAGGGGGAUAACACCUGGAAACAAGUGCUAAUACCGCAUAAGACCACGACCCGACAUCGGGAUGAGGUCAAAGGAGCAAUCCGCUGAGGGAGGGGCUCGCGUCCCAUUAGAUAGAUGGCGGGGUAACGGCCCACCAUGUCGACGAUGGGUAGCCGAGCUGAGAGGCUGAUCGGCCACACUGGAACUGAGACACGGUCCAGACUCCUACGGGAGGCAGCAGGUGGGGAAUAUUGGGCAAUGGGCGAAAGCCUGACCCAGCAACGCCGCGUGAGGGAAGAAGGCCUUCGGGUUAGUAAACCUCUGUCCUUGGUGACGAAAAAAAUGACGGUAGCCAAGGAGGAAGCCCCGGCUAACUACGUG